CGGAACACGUACAGAACCUUCCUUCGAGCGGGGAAUAGCCCGAAGAAAUUCGGAUUAAUACCCCAUAGUAUUAUGAAGUGGCAUCACUUUAUAAUUAAAGAUUUAUCACUUGAAGAUGGCUGUGCGCCUGAUUAGGUAGUUGGCGGAGUAAUAGCCCACCAAGCCUUCGAUCAGUAACUGGUGUGAGAGCACGACCAGUCACACGGGCACUGAGACACGGGCCCG
rnacentral:rRNA from 1 species